UCCAGACCCCCGACUCCCUCCCCAGCUCUUGGGUCUGCAGGACCCCUCUGGAUUGCAGCUGAGAGGAGUCCCCCAGCAGGCAGGGACCCCACGAGACAAGAUGCAGCUUUGGAAGGCCCCCAGCUCCGAGGGGUGGCGCUGGCCUCCUCGAUGCUCCUGGCCUCUGCUGGCCUCCUCAUGGGCCUCCUCUGGUGCUGUUGCUCUCCCAGCUGGCUGGCCUGGCAACCUGAUGCCUGUGGCCUCUGCCUCCGCUGCAGCACAGCCUGUACCACGUGCUACCCAUGUCCCAGCCAGGUCUCCCCAGGGGGCUGCAGUUGAGUGGCCCAGCCUUCCAGGAUCAGGGAGGCCAUCCCUAGAGGGGCUUCGGGCACACGGGAAUGAGACUAGGCUCUGGGGUCAGACAGACUCUUUGGGUUCUAACUCCCUGGCUCUGUGUCUGAUGUUGGACAGGCCCCCUAACCCUCUGAGACUCAGCUGCCCCUCCAGAAAACAGGACAACUCCUGCCUCACAGGGUUGGGGGCCUGGGGGCCUCGCUGAUCCAAAGCCAGCUUGCUUCACCCACAGAUCUCACCUGCCCUGCUCUGCCCCACCCACAGGCUCCACUGAGUGAAGCCCUCAUCAAAGACACGGGAGGCCCCUGGCGGGGAUAGCACCGUUUAUUAAGAAAAAUCAAGACAAAGACCACAGGAGGGUCCCUUCUAGGACACAGAGGCCAGCCGUCCCAACCCCACAGUCUGGGGGCCACUGGCAGGAUGGCUCUUGGAUCUUCAGGCUCCCGCAGAUGGGGCAGGGUGGUCAUAUCCCCUUCCUCUCUCUCUCAGUCGUGAGUCCUGCCUUCCCCCACCUAAGGCACUAGCUCUUCCUGAGCACCAGCGGCGUCUGUACGUCCGAGGAGUCCCUGGGCCUUCACUUCCAGAUGGGUGGGGA
rnacentral:sRNA from 1 species